rnacentral:rRNA from 1 species
CCAGACUCCUACGGGAGGCAGCAGUGAGGAAUAUUGGUCAAUGGGCGAGAGCCUGAACCAGCCAAGUCGCGUGAGGGAAGACGGUCCUAUGGAUUGUAAACCUCUUUUGCCGGGGAGCAAAAAGCGGUACGUGUACCGCAUCGAGAGUACCCGGAGAAAAAGCAUCGGCUAACUCCGUGCCAGCAGCCGCGGUAAUACGGAGGAUGCGAGCGUUAUCCGGAUUUAUUGGGUUUAAAGGGUGCGUAGGCGGGAUGCCAAGUCAGCGGUAAAAAUGCGGUGCUCAACGCCGUCGAGCCGUUGAAACUGGCGUUCUUGAGUGGGCGAGAAGUAUGCGGAAUGCGUGGUGUAGCGGUGAAAUGCAUAGAUAUCACGCAGAACUCCGAUUGCGAAGGCAGCAUACCGGCGCCCUACUGACGCUGAGGCACGAAAGCGUGGGUAUCGAACAGGAUUAGAUACCCUAGUA